GAGUGUAUAGCUCAGUAGUAGAGCGUAUGCUUAGCAUGCACAGGGUCCUGGGUUCAAUCCCCAGUACCAUCA
rnacentral:tRNA from 1 species